rnacentral:lncRNA from 1 species
AUUUGGUAUAAAAACAAAGAUAUGAAAAAGACAAGGCACCUACAACACCCAGCUUCAGUUAUCAAAUGUUGGUGGUAAUUUUAGUUAUGCCACUGUGAAAGCGUCGAUUGUUAAGUAGACAUAAAAAGUUUGAAGUAUGUACAAAGCCUGAAAGUGUCAAAUAUGGAACCUAAAAAAACCUGCCUUUGCCACUGACUGUAUAAAGGUUUUUUAAGGUCUGUUUGUCAAGCGC